rnacentral:rRNA from 1 species
AGAGUUUGAUCCUGGCUCAGAUUGAACGCUGGCGGAAUGCUUUACACAUGCAAGUCGAACGGCAGCACGGGAGCUUGCUCCUGGUGGUGAGUGGUGAACGGGUGAGUAAUGCAUCGGAACGUACCCAGUCGUGGGGGAUAACUAUCCGAAAGGAUAGCUAAUACCGCAUACGUCCUGAGGGAGAAAGCGGGGGACCGUAAGGCCUCGCGCGAUUGGAGCGGCCGAUGUUCGAUUAGCUAGUUGGUGAGGUAAAGGCUCACCAAGGCGACGAUCGAUAGCUGGUCUGAGAGGAUGAUCAGCCACACUGGAACUGAGGCACGGUCCAGACUCCUACGGGAGGCAGCAGUGGGGAAUUUUGGACAAUGGGGGCAACCCUGAUCCAGCUAUUCCGCGUGAGUGAAGAAGGCCUUCGGGUUGUAAAGCUCUUUCGGCAGGAACGAAACGGUGAUCAUUAAUACUGGUUGCUAAUGACGGUACCUGAAGAAGAAGCACCGGCUAACUACGUGCCAGCAGCCGCGGUAAUACGUAGGGUGCGAGCGUUAAUCGGAGUUACUGGGCGUAAAGCGUGCGCAGGCGGUUUCGUAAGACAGCUGUGAAAUCCCCGGGCUUAACCUGGGAACUGCGGUUGUGACUGCGAGACUAGAGUCAGGCAGAGGGGGGUGGAAUUCCACGUGUAGCAGUGAAAUGCGUAGAGAUGUGGAGGAACACCGAUGGCGAAGGCAGCCCCCUGGGCUAUGACUGACGCUCAUGCACGAAAGCGUGGGGAGCAAACAGGAUUAGAUACCCUGGUAGUCCACGCCCUAAACGAUGCCAACUAGGUGUCGGGGAAGGAGACUUCCUUAGUACCGUAGCUAAUGCGUGAAGUUGGCCGCCUGGGGAGUACGGUCGCAAGAUUAAAACUCAAAGGAAUUGACGG